rnacentral:lncRNA from 1 species
CUGGGAGGAUGUCACAGGGCACAGACUCUGCGUGCUGUGAGAGACGGGAGCUGGCAUUGUUUACCAGCAGCGGCAGGCUUUAGGGACAGACCCCUUUGCACUCCAGUACAGAAGUCUGAGGACUGGACCUGAUCAGCAAGAGCAGGAGUCCUAUGGAAUGGCUCCCAUCAGUGUGCAGGGAGGAUGCUCUGGACCAGCAACAGCCAACAGAACCCCUGAGUGUUCAUCCUCCAG